rnacentral:rRNA from 1 species
AAUGAACGCUGGCGGCAUGCCUAAUACAUGCAAGUCGAACGAACAGACAAUAAGCUUUUGCCUCUAACGUUAGCGACGGACGGGUGGGUAACGCGUACAUAACCUACUUAUAAUACGUGGGGAACUUCGGGAGGACGGUUCUGAUACCACAGAAUAUAUUGUACCGCAUGGAUCAAUAGUUAAUGACAGUUUUCCUGUCACUAAUAGAUGAUGUCGGAUUAGCUAGUUGGGUGGGUAAAGGCCCACCAAGGCGAGGAUCCGUAGCUGGUCUGAGAGGAUGAUCAGCCACACUGGAACUGAGACACGGUCCAGACUCCUACGGGAGGCAGCAGUGGGGAAUAUUGGACAAUGGGCGCAAGCCUGAUCCAGCCAUACCGCGUGGGUGAAGAAGGCCUUCGGGUUGUAAAGCCCUUUUGUUGGGAAAGAAAAGCAGCAGGUUAAUACCCCGCUGUUCUGACGGUACCCAAAGAAUAAGCACCGGCUAACUUCGUG